GCCCGGCUAGCUCAAUCGGUAGAGCGUGAGACUCUUACAAGUUACUCCCCCUUUGAGGGGAACAGAGAUCACCAUCUCAAGGUUGUGGGUUCGACCCCCACGUUGGGCU